rnacentral:rRNA from 1 species
UAAGAGGUCCCGCCUGCCCUGUGACCACAAGUUUAACGGCCGCGGUAUUCUGACCGUGCAAAGGUAGCGCAAUCACUUGUCUUUUAAAUGAAGACCUGUAUGAAUGGCAUAACGAGGGCUUAACUGUCUCCUUUUUCUAGUCAAUGAAAUUGAUCUCCCCGUGCAGAAGCGGGGAUAAUAACAUAAGACGAGAAGACCCUGUGGAGCUUUAGAUUCCAGAACAGUCCGUGUCAAAUUUAACUCUAUUAAGAGAAUGAACUAAUCGACUUCUGUUCCUAUAUCUUUGGUUGGGGCGACCGCGGGGGAAUAAAAAGCCCCCAUGAAGAAUAAGAGCACAUACUCCUACAACCACGAGCCACAGCUCUAAUUAACAGAAUUUCUGACUUAUAAGAUCCGGCAAAGCCGAUCAACGAACCGAGUUACCCCAGGGAUAACAGCGCAAUCCUCUUCCAGAGCCCAUAUCGACAAGAGGGUUUACGACCUCGAUGUUGGAUCAGGACAUCCUAAUGGUGCAGCCGCUAUUAAGGGUUCGUUUGUUCAACG